UCCGCAGGUUCACCUACGGAGGGAUCAUUAC
rnacentral:rRNA from 1 species